rnacentral:misc_RNA from 1 species
UCAAACUUGGUCAUUUAGAGGAAGUAAAAGUCGUAACAAGGUUUCCGUAGGUGAACCUGCGGAAGGAUCAUUAUCGAGGAAGGGUCUUUGGCCCGAUCCCCAAACCUUGAAACUAAACACCACGUUGCUUUGGCUGGCAUUUACCCGUGCCGGCCAGUAGCCUUUUUGAAAAAUUCAUUUUAAAUUGUAUCUGAGAUUGGAUGAAAACCGAAAAAAAACUUUCAACAACGGAUCUCUUGGCUCUGGCAUCGAUGAAGAACGCAGC